GGCGCAGCGCGCGAGGCGGAGCUUCGGCGCUUGCGGAAGAUGAAUGUGGCCUUCGAGGAGCAGAACGCGGUACUGCAGAGGCACACGCAGAGCAUGAGCAGCGCGCGCGAGCGUCUGGAGCAGGAGCUGGCGCUGGAGGAGCGGAGGACGCUGGCGCUGCAGCAGCAGCUCCAGGCCGUGCGCCAGGCGCUCACCGCCAGCUUCGCCUCACUGCCGGUGCCGGGCACGGGCGAAACGCCCACGCUGGGCACUCUGGACUUCUACAUGGCCCGGCUUCACGGAGCCAUCGAGCGCGACCCCGCCCAGCACGAGAAGCUCAUCGUCCGCAUCAAGGAAAUCCUGGCCCAGGUCGCCAGGUGUGUGCCGGGCGAGGCGGGGCGGGGCCGGGGUUCAAGGCCCGGAUGUGCCCGCCCUGGGGUUCCGCAGGUCCGCGAGGGCCGCUGGGUGGGACUCCGCAGCUUACUAGAGAUCACCUCCCGGAGGGGCCUACCUGCGGUCGCCCCUGAUGCACCAGUGCUAGGAUGGCCAUGGAGACCCCCGGGCUGGCGGGACCCACUCGGGGGCACCAGAACUUCCCUAAAGCUUCUCAGGGUGGAUCCCAGCGCCCGGGUUAGAUAGGUUCAACGCCUGUCCCCCAACCCUGGCAUCUGUUGGAGCAGCUGAUGGGCCAUGGUCUCUGGGGUUCCC
rnacentral:sRNA from 1 species